GCUAACUGUCAUAACAGAAUUGCAGAUCCCAAUACUGACUACUCAACCACCUAUAUAAUCUUCAAUCUCCAUCAUUGAUCCAACUCUGGAAUCAGCUUCUCAUUCAACCCAAUUCAUUCACCAAUCUCAACCACUCUCCAACAGAAUUCACCUUCACUCUCUCUCAACUCAACAUUCAUCCUCACCACCCCCAAUAAUCACCAGCACCUUCACCCUCUCUCAACUCUCCUUUGGAUCAUUCCACAGUCAAGUCCUCGAUUCAUUCACUCAAUAAGAAAAGGAAGAGAGACGGAGAAAGAAGAAGGAAUCAGAUAUUAAGAGGUAGGAAGAAGGAUACAGAGUCAUUACCUGGAAACAGAGCUUUCAUCGUCGCAAGCACAUUCGUCAUUGUCGUCACAUCCAGCAAGAGAACGAUCGUGAAAGAAGAGGAAAAGGGCAAAGAGACAGAGCGAGGGCUGAAGGUUGAAGAAGGAAGGGCUUGAGCUUAGAGAUUCGCCGGAUUAACUCAGGUAACGAGAAAUGAGUUGAGUAGAAGCUUAUGCUUGGAGUCUAGAGUAGUUCUUAUGGGUCAUGCUCUGAUAGAUGUAACAUCGGGAGGGAAUGUUUUAAUUAAUUUGAUAUUGGUUGUUGGAUGAUUCACAUGUAUAGUGUUACAUGUUUUACAUUGAUGUUGAAUUUGAUUCCGCUGCGAAUUAUGCAAAAGACCUUAUUUUGAUUUAA